UACGAAGGGGGCUAGCGUUGCUCGGAAUCACUGGGCGUAAAGCGCACGUAGGCGGGCCUUUAAGUCAGGGGUGAAAUCCUGGAGCUAACUCCAGAACUGCCUUUGAUACUGAGGAUCUCGAGUCCGGGAGAGGUGAGUGGAACUCCGAGUGUAGAGGUGAAAUUCGUAGAUAUUCGGAAGAACACCAGUGGCGAAGGCGGCUCACUGGCCCGGUACUGACGCUGAGGUGCGAAAGCGUGGGGAGCAAACAGG
rnacentral:rRNA from 1 species